UACGUAGGGGGCAAGCGUUGUCCGGAUUUAUUGGGCGUAAAGAGCUCGUAGGUGGUUCGGUAAGUCGGAUGUGAAAUCUCCAGGCUCAACCUGGAGGGGUCAUUCGAUACUGCCGUGACUAGAGGUCGGUAGGGGAGUGUGGAAUUCCUGGUGGAGCGGUGAAAUGCGCAGAUAUCAGGAGGAACACCCGUAGCGAAGGCGGCACUCUGGGCCGAUACUGACUCUGAGGAGCGAAAGCGUGGGGAGCGAACAGG
rnacentral:rRNA from 1 species